rnacentral:rRNA from 1 species
GACGAACGCUGGCGGCGUGCUUAACACAUGCAAGUCGAGCGGAGCGGCGAACGGGUGAGUAACGCGUGAGUAACUGACCCCCUCUCUGGGAUAACAGUUGGAAACGGCUGAUAAUCACGGAUAGUGGGGGAUGACUCGCGUACUAUAAGCUUGUUGGUGGGGUAGUGGCCUACCAAGGCGACGACGGGUCGGCGGCCUGGAAGGUCGAACGGCCACAUGGGGCUGAGAUACUGCCCAAACUCCUACGGGAGGCAGCAGUGGGGAAUAUUGCACAAUGGUGGAAACCCUGAUGCAGCAACGCCGCGUGCGGGAUGACGGCCUUCGGGUUGUAAACCGCUUUCAGCCAUGACGCGGUAGUGGCAGAAGAAGCACCGGCUAACUACGUGCCAGCAGCCGCGGUAAUAC